GUGGAACCUGGGCAAUACCUCAUUGCCCACUGCCAACUGGACUGUAGUGGGUGAACAGACCCAGCUGGAGAUCUCCACACGUGUGCCAGGCUCCUACUGUGUACAAGUGGCUGCAGUCACUGGUGCUGGGGCUGGAGAGCCCAGUAGCCCUGUCUGCCUCCUUUUAGAGCAGGCCAUGGAGCAGUCAGCCAGAGACCCCAGUAAACAUGCUUCCUGGACCCUGGAUCAGCUGAGGGCCACAUUAAGACGACCAGAAGUCAUCGCCAGUUGUGCUGUCCUGCUCUGGGUGCUGCUACUAGGCAUUGCUGUGUGUGUCUAUAGACGGCGCAAAGCUGGGGUUCACCUGGGCCCAGGUCUGUACAGAUACACCAGUGAGGAUGCCAUUUUAAAACACAGG